AUCUGGGCUCAAUCUCGUGUGGCGGACGGAAGUCAGGUCAGCCUUCAGGAUAGCCAUCCCUCCGAUCUGACAAGUUCAUUGUACGACAGGACUGAUGUGUACCCUCAGGUCCACUCUCAAGAAAAGAGCCAUGAUGAGUUCUACACUGACUCAACAAAC